rnacentral:rRNA from 1 species
AUUGAACGCUGGCGGCAGGCCUAACACAUGCAAGUCGAACGAGUGGCGGACGGGUGUGUAAUGUCUGGGAAACUGCCCGAUGGAGGGGGAUAACUACUGGAAACGGUAGCUAAUACCGCAUAACCGCGGAUGUGCACAGAUGGGAUUAGCUAGUAGGUGGGGUAAUGGCUCACCUAGGCGACGAUCCCUAGCUGGUCUGAGGGGAUGACCAGCCACACUGGAACUGAGACACGGUCCAGACUCCUACGGGAGGCAGCAGUGGGGAAUAUUGCACAAUGGGCGCAAGCCUGAUGCAGCAAUGCCGCGUGUAUGAAGAAGGCCUUCGGGUUGUAAAGUACUUUCAGCGGGGAGGCGUUACCCGCAGAAGAAGCACCGGCUAACUCCGUGCCAGCAGCCGCGGUAAUUC